AAUAAAUAUAGUUUUGUACUAUUCAUCUCCAACGUUUAACCGUUCGUUUUAUUUGAAAAAAAAAUAUGAUUACUAUUUUUAUUGCUAUUAGAUGAUAAAAUAUGAAUAGUACUUUAUGUGUGACUAAUUUUUUAAAAAAAAUUAUAAAAUUUUCAAAUAAGACGGACAGUCAAACGUUGAACACGAAUUUUUAUAACUGUAUUUAUU
rfam:Oryza sativa Japonica Group DNA, chromosome 3, cultivar: Nipponbare, complete sequence.